rnacentral:rRNA from 1 species
AGGGAACCGCCUGAACUGAAACAUCUAAGUAGGGCGAGGAAGAGACAUCAAACGAGAUUCCGUAAGUAGUGGCGAGCGAACGCGGAAGAGGGCAAACCGAGAGUAGAAAUACUUUCGGGGUACGGAGCGCAUUUAGGACUUAAGUUGUUAACCGAACGGCAUGGGAAGGCCGGUCAGAGAGUGUGAGAACCACGUAGGUGAAAACGACAAGAGCUGAGCGAUUUCCAGAGUACGGCCAGACACGUGAAACCUGGUCGGAAGAUGGGGGGACCACCCUCCAACCCUAAAUACUACCCAGUGACCGAUAGCGUAUAGUACUGUGAAGGAAAGGUGAAAAGCACCCCGGGAGGGGAGUGAAAAAGAACCUGAAACCCUGUGCCUACAAGCACCUAGAGCACGUCAAUGUGUGAUAGGGUACUUUUUGUAGAACGGUCCGGCGAGCGAUUGUAUGCAGCAAGGUUAAGGACUUAAGGUCUGGAGCCGAAGCGAAAGCGAGUUUGAAAAGGGCGUUAAGUUGCAUAUAAUGGGCCCGAAACCGGGUGACCUACCCAUGGUCAGGUUGAAGUGGAAGUAAAAUUCCAUGGAGGACCGAACCGACCUCCGUUGAAAAGGCGGCGGAUGAACUGUGGGUAGCGGAGAAAUUCCAAUCGAACCCGGAGAUAGCUGGUUCUCCCCGAAAUAGUUUUAGGACUAGCCUCAAGUUAGAUACCUGGAGGUAAAGCACUGAAUAGCCUAGCGGCCGAGAGGUUAGCGAAGCUUAUCAAACUCAGAAUGCCAGAGUAUUGAUGCUUGGGAGUCAGACAGUGUCAGAUAAAUGUCAUUGUCAAAAGGGAAACAGCCCAGAUCUACAGCUAAGGUCCCAAAGUCAGGUUAAGUGGAAAACGAUGUGAAGAUACGCAGACAACCAGGAUGUUGGCUCAGAAGCAGCCACUCAUUCAAAGAGUGCGUAAUAGCUCACUGGUCGAGCGUCUUUGCGCGGAGAAUUUAACGGGGCUAAACCUGACACCGAAGCUUAGGCAAUCCAGUAAUGGAUUGGGUAGGGGAGCGUUGUAUACGCGGAGAAACAGUAGCGUAAGCGGCUGUGGAGUGUAUAGAAGUGAGAAUGCCGGAAUGAGUAGCGCGAAUGCAGUGAGAAUCUGCAUGGCCGAAAGCCUCAGGUUUCUGGAGGAAGGUUCGUCCGCUCCAGGUUAGUCGGGAGCUAAGGUGAGGCCGGAAGGCGUAGCCGAUGCACAGACGGUAGAGAUUCCGUCACCACCAAAAGAGUUAAGCACAGGGACACAUUUGAAGUCUCAGAGCCGGGUGUUGGUUCCGGUAGAGAUCGAGGGAAAUUAGUACCGAAGUCUGGGAUGGAAGAUGGCGAGAAAAGCUGUGUGUAUUUCUGAGGUGCCCGUACCGCAAACCGACACAGGUAGGUAGGAAGAAGAUUCUAAGGCCAACGGGAGAAGGGUUGUUAAGGAACUCGGCAAGUUGACCCCGUAACUUCGGAAUAAGGGGUGCUCAUGAAAGUGAGCCGCAGAGAAUAGGCCCAGGCAACUGUUUACCAAAAACACAGGUUUGUGCUAAAUCGAAAGAUGACGUAUACGAGCUGACGCCUGCCCGGUGCUGGAAGGUUAAAAGGAGAUGUGCAAGCAUUGAAUUGAAGCCCCAGUGAACGGCGGCCGUAACUAUAACGGUCCUAAGGUAGCGAAAUUCCUUGUCAGGUAAG